rnacentral:rRNA from 1 species
AACGAACGCUGGCGGCAUGCCUAACACAUGCAAGUCGAACGAGACCUUCGGGUCUAGUGGCGCACGGGUGCGUAACGCGUGGGAACCUGCCUUUAGGUUCGGAAUAACUCAGAGAAAUUUGAGCUAAUACCGGAUGAUGUCUUCGGACCAAAGAUUUAUCGCCUUUAGAUGGGCCCGCGUUGGAUUAGCUAGUUGGUGGGGUAAAGGCCUACCAAGGCGACGAUCCAUAGCUGGUCUGAGAGGAUGAUCAGCCACACUGGGACUGAGACACGGCCCAGACUCCUACGGGAGGCAGCAGUGGGGAAUAGUGGACAAUGGGCGAAAGCCUGAUCCAGCAAUGCCGCGUGAGUGAUGAAGGCCUUAGGGUUGUAAAGCUCUUUUACCCGAGAUGAUAAUGACAGUAUCGGGAGAAUAAGCUCCGGCUAACUCCAUG